AUGAAUUCGAUCAGUACACCGGAAAACACCCGUUUCCAGCCGCAACUGAAAUUAAGAAAAAAACAUCAGAACAUUUUUUAUUUCCAUUGUAUUUCAACACAUGGCCGGAAGGCGGCGCCAUUUCACCGGUCCGUGCUGUGCCGGCGGGUGUAAUGGAAAGCAGGAACGCGAAUCGCUGGGGAAGUCGGAGGUACGGCGGAGUGGGCAAGGCUUGUUAAACGAGCCGAAGCUGCCAAACCAGUCAUUACAUUUUCGGCUAGCUAGGGCCCUCCCACCUCCUCCUUCUACCUACCAGAGGAGGAAAAAAACACACACAAAAAGCUAACUAGCGCCAUCCUCACAGCUUUGUUCUUGCACAGAAGAGAGAAAAACAGAGGGGUAGGCAAUCAGUGCGGGGCUGACAACACCGGGGGAUAUCGAAGAGUCUGCGUACUUUGACUCGUCAGUAUUGCACAAUGUGACACCACACCGCUUGCCUAUCUUCUCGACCACAAAAAUGCAGAAGGCCAAAGCAUUUUUAGUCCGUUUGAGCUAAAAGCCAGUUGUCCCCCUCCACAGCGUCUGCAAUGCCGAAUUGAAACACUGCUCCGUCCACGACACUCGCCUCGCCUGUCAGCCCGUCCCAGUUCAGCGGGACCCGAGCGGAAAACCUGCACGGAAUUAUUAUUUUUCACCUUUUAAGCCCCCCGUAAGGUUUUCGCUAACGGGAAAUGUCGUAUGUUACGAUUUUUGCAUACGGCGGCCAGCCAGGGAUUAUAUGAACACGUCUGUGAUCCCGAAAGAGGAAAGAGCAGUGGGGCGCUUCAUUACUUCAAUUUUCGGAAAGGCAGCAGAGUGCUUGAGUGCCGCAUUUCUUGAGUGUCGGUGUGUGCCAUGCAGACUGCUUGCUUCAAAGUCUUGUUCUGAAGGUCUCGAGAAGCCGCAGCAAAACCGAAAAGGCAUGAUUGCAGAGACAUGUGAGCUUAUUUUUAUUGCCGUCUUCACUUGAACUUGUUAAGCUAUUUGAAAAUAUUUUAAGAAAGGAAGGGAAGG
rnacentral:lncRNA from 1 species